UGUCCUUAAAAUAAACUAUUAUCUGAUUGUACAUGUUAAACACGUGCUCAAUAUCAAUGCUUUUUUGUUGGUUGUUGACAAACAGGUGACAAUCGUUAAACUAUGGCUUCAAAACACGAACUUUAAUUACCUGCCAUAUUUUCACAACAACACUGACCGAUUGAAUAAAAAAUGACGAUUAUAUGAAUUUUAUGCAAAAAAAUUUAAAAAAUCAUGCACAGAAGACUAAGUUUAUGAUGUUUGUAUGCAUUGGUUCAAGAAUUGUAAUAAC
rnacentral:lncRNA from 1 species